rnacentral:lncRNA from 1 species
GUUGCCAUCUCAUCGUCAGUUACCUCUCCACUCUCACCCUGGGAACACAAAGCUCACGAUGGUUCCAAGCCUGUAUUUCUCUCCCAUCACUGCUUUAGUUCAGUGCUUAUGCCCAGGGUAUUGUUUCUCUGCAUAUUGGGCUUCUCAGCAUUCUUUGCUGAUGUUCCGGGGCUGGGGUUUCGAGCACUCCACCGUCUGCCACCAAACAACUCCACAGCGUGAGCCAAAGUUGGGCCUUCAUACCGUCCAUCCUCCUGUGAAAGAGCCACAUGGUGAACACAAUAGGAAGCAUCAAGCAAUGGGGAAGUAAAUAUAUUAAUGUCUCCCAGAAAAUUCCAAGAGGUGGAAGAGCACAGACGGCCACAGAAGAAUAAUGAUCUGGCCACCCAAGUGACUGUUUUCUAACUCACAAGAUUCUCUGUCAGGAAUUUCAUCAUGUCCCCCGUUGUCCUGGUCACAUCACUGCUGAGUUCCAGUGACAUGCUUUAAUACAUCAACUGGGGAACAAAAACUUCCCAUCCCAUUUACAGAGGUUAAAUUGCAGAACUACCACUGUAGGAAAAUUCAUUUAGACUUACUUUGCAAAUUAGGGCCUUGGACAUCCUGGAAGGGAGAGGGGCAGGGUAUCAAUCUAAGUAAAAUCAAGUUGUAUUUGUCCAUUAUUGCCAGGUAGGUUUUCAACUAGUUUGAUGCUUGGGACAGUCGGACUUGAAAUACAGGGUGUGUGUGACAUGCAUGAAAUUCCCUUUGAAGGGCCCCAGGGAGCUCCUAAAAUAGUUGGGCUGCCAUCCCCUUGAGUGGCUGAAAUCUAAAGAUAGGGAGCCCAUGGGACUCAGAACACCAUACAUAUUAGGAUGCUCUGAGCAGCAACAACACACUCAAGGGGCAGGCAAUUGUUCACAGUAGCUACUGCUUCUAAGGCAACUCUGUGUAGCAUCCUGUAAGUAACAGCAGGGAUCUAUUAAUUAAACAAUUGUCAAUGAUUCUCCCCAUAAGUCAGUUAAUAAAACCACAAAAAGUUGCCUAUGAGCUAAAGAUGAUAUUGAUAUUUCAUACACUGUAUAAGCGGGCUCUUUAAAAAUUAAUUUCCAUGUACUGUGUUUACUCUUCAAAAACAUUUCAGGCUGGCUCUCCUUUGCAGUUCCAAAGAAAUGCUUAUGGAUAGAUUUUGCUUUGUUGCAGAUCAUAUGCAAAAAACAAAGAAGCUUUGUGUGUGUGUGUGCUUGCUCCUUCAGCCUAAUGUUUAAUAACUAUCUGAUGUUAUGACUUGUGCAUUCCCACUUCCUGCAUCCUGCUGUGGAUCCCAGGAUGCUGAAUAACUUGGGUACUUGACAAAGAAACCUUUGGGUGACCUCUUAUAGUGGGACAUUGUGACUUAUGGCUGUCCAUGAUCUGUUUCUCCCUUCUCUAACCAUACCCCGAUUUUACUUUAACUGUCUAUUCUCCACUGGAUAUAGUCUCGAUGGGUGUGUCAAUCAAGAUGAAAUAUCCUCCUUUGACCAAUGAUUGGCACAUGAUCCCAAUAAGCCAAUCAGAAGCCCCUUCCUGGAGCAGGGUUCUUGAAUGCAGUGAUACAGAGAAUGAAAAUGGUUGGAGAUCAGUCCAUCUGCUGGAGGCCUGCUGAAGAGAAUCCCUGCUAACAAGUCACUAGGAGUGACUUCAAAUUGGAAUAAACAUUUCAUGAAUGAAACCUAAUGGAUACGUUUUAACUACCAUUUUGAAUAACAUACUCUGAAUCUGAAAGAAGAGUAAAACUUUUAUUUAUGGAUUUUAACCAAUACAUCUUUAAAAGCUUAAUAGGC